UGGAUUAGGUUAAAAGGCCUUUGAGAUGCAUGCGUGCAUCGCAGUAUGUCUGCUAAUGCUGUCAAGCCUUUGAAAGAAGUGGUUGCAGUUAGAGGGCACAGGGACCAGGAGCUGGCGUUUAAGGCUCCCUGUCCCGUUGUGGAGCAGCAGAGAUCAGAAGCCAGCCCCGUGUCUGGGGCAUGUGAUCAAGCUAGGAACCAAGCAUGAAAGGUCUCUCUUAAGGCAAAGAAGGAGGAUGCUCUUCUUCACUGCCCUCCUUGUUUGAAGGAAGAACGGUUUUACUUAUUCAUUUAUUUAUUUAUUUCCAAUCCAGUGUUUAGUAUCAGCUUGAGGUUUGGGGCUUUUUCUGCCCCAGAAGUGAAUCUGCCCACUGGCUCACAGUAACCUAUUUAGCUUUAAUGAAACAGGUACUAUACAUUAAACGCGUGACAACUCAUUAUCGUCACUCCAGCUGGGAGAUCGCUGUGGAAACUUUGCCAUGAAUAUAAACUCAAAUUUAAAAAAGAAAUUGCUUUGGCUUUUUCUCUGCCCCUCUCAGUGCCCCUGGGAGACACGUGUGAUCACACUUGGCAUGACUGCUUCACACGGACUUUGUAAAGCGCCGAAGUGCAGGCAAACACUUGAAGGCACUCUCAAGCCAGAAGAUCUACUGAAGGCAGACCUGAUCAAUGACACAACUCAAACUAGAGAAAAUAGACACAGAUUUGGAUGGUUAAACCACGACACGGAGGGGCAAGAGGAGCAAGAAAGGAUAAAAAACAUUAGAUUCUAGACUUCCCACUGAAACAGCUUUGGAAACCUCAUUUACAGUGGAAACACCCCAAACCUCCCAGCAUACUCUGUAAUUCCAUGUAAGAUCUGAUCUCCGUUUUGAAAAGGUCAAUAAAUCUGUGUUUUUAAAACAA